UAUCCAAAAUAAAAGAGCGCCAGCACUCUCCACUAAAUUUUCAGUUCUUUUCUUUCACUAUAUUCAAAGAACCCUAAGCCCCAAAUUGAAAAAUAAGGAUGGCACAGACUCUCCGCUACCACCGCGUUGCUGUCCUCCCUCUCUAAUUGGUUUUAUGGGAGCUGCGAUAUCAAAUCCUACAUUUGAAGUUCCGAAAUAUAUUAUCAAACAAAGGAAUAAAAAGAAAGUCUGUUAGUGGGAUAAGGUAUUAUGCAGGUUUGUCCAUUAUAUCUUUGUUAAUGCUUACACCUUUUGCAGUUGCAAUGGAGGGUCUCUAGAGGUGGGCAGUAGGAUGGCAAAAAACUCUCUCUCACAUAGGACCCACUUUUGUUUGGUUAGGAUCGACAACUUCCAUUUCUUAUCAUGCGAUGCUCGCGGUAUUCACUAAUGCAUAGUUGUAAUAGUAUUAGAUAUCAAUUAUUAAAUAUUUAUCCUGGUGAGGUAGUUUACAUCGUCCUCCAUAUUACUUGAAUCGUGGUUGUUUUGUUUGACUAUUUUAGAAUGUUGAUAAAAACUUAAGGUGCUUUAGAUUAAUCAUGUUUUCUCUAGGCUCCCAUAGGCAUCAGUUAGGUAUAAGAUGAUUAUGGAUGUUAUGUUUGUGUCUAUAUUAAUGGUGCUGCCUUAGUUCUAGCUCUCCCUUGCAUACUUUUGAAUCAUUUAAUAAAUUAUGUGAUAGCUCUUGUUAUGUCAUUGCUGACAUAUUUUGUUACUCGUAUGUUUAUGUUAAAAGUUCUUUGAUGAAUCAUUUAUAUGAGUAUCCUAAUAACAAUUUUGUCUUUGGCUUUGAUAUUCAGUAUCAACGCAAGACAUAUUCUAUCACCUUUAUAACCAAUUGUUUAUAUGUCAUUGGAUGAGAUUUCUCACCUGACGUUUAGCAUAGAAAUGCAGUGAAGCGAAUAUCUGUCGGUGUUGCCUCCAUCAUAAUCUUCCAAAUACAUGUUCGACUCAUCAAUGCACUUGAAGCUGCCAUUGUAAUCAUAGGAACCUUCUUUUAUUCACAAAUCAAGAUCAAGAACUUGGAGUUUGAAGAACCUAUCCUUGAAGAAUGUGCGGAGCAAGUUGAAGCAUUAUAGAAUUUUUGUUCUGUUAGCAGUGGUUUAAAGAUGUUGUCAUUUGUACAUCGUGCUAUAGUUCUAUUGUCUACUUUUAGGAGUUGAUAAAAAUAGUGUCAUGCAAUUUGGAUGGGUAUAUUUAUAGACACUGAUCUUUCCGUUCUUUGUAAUGAUAAUAAAAUUUUAUAGAGUAUGAAUUUUGAUUAUUUGGUAUA